UACGAAGGGGGCUAGCGUUGCUCGGAAUCACUGGGCGUAAAGCGCACGUAGGCGGAUUGUUAAGUCAGGGGGUGAAAUCCUGGAGCUCAACUCCAGAACUGCCUUUGAUACUGGCGAUCUCGAGUCCGGGAGAGGUGAGUGGAACUGCGAGUGUAGAGGUGAAAUUCGUAGAUAUUCGCAAAGAACACCAGUGGCGAAGGCGGCUCACUGGCCCGGUACUGGACGCUGAGGUGCGAAAGCG
rnacentral:rRNA from 1 species